UACAGAGGUCUCAAGCGUUGUUCGGAUUCAUUGGGCGUAAAGGGUGCGUAGGCGGCGCGGUAAGUCGGGUGUGAAAUCUCGGAGCUUAACUCCGAAACUGCAUUCGAUACUGCCGUGCUUGAGGACUGGAGAGGAGGGUGGAAUUCCCGGUGUAGCGGUGAAAUGCGCAGAUAUCGGGAGGAACACCGGUGGCGAAGGCGGUUCUCUGGGGCCUUACCUGACGCUGAGGAGCGAAAGCGUGGGGAGCGAACAGG
rnacentral:rRNA from 1 species